rnacentral:rRNA from 1 species
CCUACGGGAGACAGCAGUGAGGAAUAUUGGUCAAUGGGCGCGAGCCUGAACCAGCCAAGUAGCGUGAAGGAUGACUGCCCUACGGGUUGUAAACUUCUUUUAUAAAGGAAUAAAGUGAGGCACGUGUGCCUUUUUGUAUGUACUUUAUGAAUAAGGAUCGGCUAACUCCGUGCCAGCAGCCGCGGUAAUACGGAGGAUCCGAGCGUUAUCCGGCUUUAUUGGGUUUAAAGGGAGCGUAGAUGGGUUGUUAAGUCAGUUGUGAAAGUUUGCGGCUCAACCGUAAGAUUGCAAUUGAUACUGGCAGUCUAGAGGACAGAUGGGGUAGGCGGAAUUCGUGGUGUAGCGGUGAAAUGCUUAGAUAUCACGAAGAACUCCGAUUGCGAAGGCAGCUUACUAAACUGCCACUGACAUUGAUGCUCGAAAGUGUGGGUAUCAAACAGGAUUAGAUACCCCUGUAGUC